GCGUGCAGGAUGACGGCCCUAUGGGUUGUAAACUGCUUUUGUACGGGAAGAAACCUUGCUACGUGUAGCUUUCUGACUGUACCGUACGAAUAAGGAUCGACUAACUCCGUGCCAGCAGCCGCGGUAAUA
rnacentral:rRNA from 1 species